AUACUUGAAAACUUAAUCUUGACUUCCUACAAUAAUAAUGUUGGGAAAUCCCGACUAUGGCAAUAAACAGCUUAUGUAAUAGAUGGAGCGGACCCGGGGGCGGUACCCGGCGUCUCCACCAAGAAAAAUUAUGGGGAUGAAAUAGGAUCGACGCACUUUGAAAGAUACGUCUCUUUGCCCGGUAUAAUACCACCGUGACGGAUUGAAAAAAAUAAUUGGAAACAGAAAACCAGUUAGAAUGCUUUCACCAGAGCAAAUUGCAGGGUUCCAACCUUUCAAUUUUGCUGAAACUAGAUCUGCAAUCGCAGCUUAAGUUUGGUGAAAACAAAGCGGCCUUGAGGGAGCCGAGCAACAGAAUCCCUCACC
rnacentral:tmRNA from 1 species